rnacentral:rRNA from 1 species
AAGCGGUGGAGCAUGUGGCUUAAUUCGAGGCUACGCGAAGAACCUUACCUGGGUUUGACAUGUUCGAAAGAGUCGGGAAGUAGGACCCGGAGACGGGAACGAACGGUAUCCAAUCCGGAACCUGACACAGGUGCUGCAUGGCUGUCGUCAGCUCGUGUCGUGAGAUGUCGGGUUAAGUCCCAUAACGAGCGAAACCCUUACCCUCAGUUGCUAAUUAUAGGACUCUGGGGGGACUGCCGGUGUUAAACCGGAGGAAGGUGGGGAUG